rnacentral:rRNA from 1 species
UACAGAGGGGGCAAGCGUUGUCCGGAUUUACUGGGCGUACAGCGCGCGCAGGCGGUUGCGUAUGUGAGCGGUGACAUCCGCGGGCUCAACCCGCGGCGGCCCGCUUACACAGCGCGACUGGAGGCAGGGAGAGGGAUGUGGAAUACCCGGUGGAGCGGUGAAAUGCGUAGAGAUCGGGUGGAACACCAGCGGCGAAGGCGGCAUCCUGGCCCUGUACUGACGCUGAGGCGCGGUAGCGUGGGGAGCAAACGGG